UGUCUACACUACAGGUCUGUCGUGCGUUUGUAAUCUGCUGACCCCCACAUGUUGUUCAGAGCCUAUGGAUAACACAGCUCCUAAAGCCAGUCGAUCGCCCAGUGCUAUCCCCCUGCCUGCUGGCUGGGCAGGGUAACUCCUCAGGUCACCACCACCCUCUCCAGCCUGCCUUGGCUUUGGGGAGUGAGGAGGAGGGCGAGGGACGAUACUGAACAUCCUCCAUCCAUCGCUCCGUCAGCAGAGCAAGGUGGCCAGGCUCCUGAGGAUGUUCAGGAAGAAGGCUCUGCAGGUGGCCCCAGAGCCUGAGGGAAGCAGCUGCCAUCUUCCCCGGGAGCAGAGCGGCCCCUCCGUCCCCACUGGCGGGGAAGGAGCUCCCGGCCAGGCCAGGAGGUGGAAGUGCCCAGUCUUCUGGCGGAGAAAACCCGCUCCCAGCGCAGGCGCCGAGGUGGGAGAGGCCAGGUCGA